rnacentral:lncRNA from 1 species
GCAGAGUUUCUAUUGGUGGCCCAGUAUAGGGAGGAUGUUGAUAAAUAAACUCUUAGGUUGUGAGAAUCCCGUUUUCUAAGCAUCUUCUUCUGACCUCCACAAGCACCAGACACAUAUUUAAAAUGUGUUAUGGGACACAUAACAUACAUGUAGGCCAGACACACUCAUGAGACACAUGCACACAUGAAGGCCAAGCACAAGCAUAAAAAUUUUUAAAAAAUAAGUAAAUCUUGAAAAAAAAUCAAGGAUAGUUUCAAAAGGAUUAGUCCAAAACUUAGCUGCCUAUAGGUCUCUUUUCUAACAAGCUUGGACUACACUUUUAGCAUAUGUAGUUGAUUCAGAAACUCAAACACGAGUUCAUUGCUGGAGUCAGUUCUGGCUUUAAAACAGGAGACCACUCAAUUGUGAUGGCUGCAUCUUUGCAGAAAGUCAUCUUAGAAGCUUAGUAGUUAAAACACCAUGUGGGAACUAAUUAGACUUAAUCUUCUCAAACCAGAGUGUGCAGUAAGCAUCAGCGUCACUUUGGAAAAGGACCGACUCAUUCUGCAGUUAAAUUUGAUGACAGACAGACAGUCAACUGACUGAUAUAGAUUAUUGUUUUUUAAAGCAAUCAAUAACUGAUUUGACUUAGUCUCAGCCUUUAUCUGUAUGUGGUUACUUACAAUGCCCCAGAGUUUGGACAGGAAUCCAUACACAACAGUAGUCGAAGGAGAAUGUUUGAUGAUGCUGGUGAUGGUCAGACCACUUCCUCUUCACCCCCAAGUUGACUACUCCCCACUGUUUCUGAGAAAUGAAAUUCCAAGAGGCUACCCUUUUAACUCUGCCCUACUACAGAGAACGAGGAGGUUUACUCUUUUUUUUUUCUUGGCUCUUUGGAAAGAUUAAGAAAACCUGAUAGUCUCCCUGUUCUGCUUCCUGGGCUCUUACACUCCCAAAAGAAAGGUUGAGGGGUCUGAGCCUAAUGAAAUUGCCCCAUUUGUAAGUGUCAUUGAGAUAAAUGUGUGCAUAAAGUUGAGAUAAAUUAUCUUAUUAAACAAUACUGUGUAAGUUCCGAGGUAUAUGUGUCGUAUAUCCAGAAGGGCUCUCACUGCGAGAGGUGUGUACAUCCACACCUUUGCAGGCUUUGCUUCUUGGGUGGACAUUGGGAUGUGCGAGCAGUCGGUGUGAGCACAGUAUUCAGGUGUAUACAGUGUACUUACAGACAACCUAACAGGGUUCAGGGACUCUUGGGCCCGGAGUUUAACCAAUCCUACUCACAGACUAUCGAUAUAAAUGAACCAAUGUGGGAUAGGAAGCCAUAGGUUCCCUCUUGGCUCCCUCCACACAACCUCAUUAAGCCCAACUCUGACUCUAUUAUAAAAUAAACUGUUUUGAGACUGGAAAGGUAGCAUAGUAGUAAAAACCACUGAUGACUCUCUCUGAAGACCUGAAUUUGAGUUCCAGCAUCCAUACAGCAGCUCACAACUGCUUGUAACUCUAGUUCCAAAGUCUCUGACACUGUCUUCUUGCUUCUGAGGGCAUUGAAUGACUAGGAUGCACAGAUCUACAUUCAUUCAAAACACCCAAACAGUACCUAGACUUCAUGCAAACCCCCUACCUCUGCCUCCUGGGUGAUGGCAUUAAAGAUGUGCACCACCACACCUAACCUUUAGGCCUAUGUUUUAAAAUUUUUAAUUAAAAAAAGAACUCCCUUCCUCGGGUACAAACUGUCACUCAAAAAAUUAAAUACAUGGUAGUCUUCCUUAAACUAAAUCCUUUUAAGUGCACACCUUAAUUUUUCAUUAGUUGAUUAGUUUUAAAUAUAUAUAUACACACAUAUAUACACACAUAUACAUACAUACAUACAUACAUACACACACAUAUGCAUAUAAAGAAAUUAAGCCCAGACUUCUUUUGGUCAUUAUUUUACACCCCUAAUUUUGUUAGAAUUCUUCCUCUAGUCUUAUAGUAAAAUUAAAAAUAGGUUAAAGUAAAGGCAGAAUGGACUGAAGCCCUAAGAAACCAAGGCCAUGUCUGAGACUUGCUGUUAUUAAAGUGUGGGCUUUCUUCAUUUUUUUUUUUUAACACAGAGAUAGUCAUCUCUUUCAGGUUAAAAAACCCCACAAUUACCCUCUAUUAAAACAAAAUAAAGGAUCAAGUGAAAGUAAUUAAGACCUUAUUAAAGAAAUUUUAAUAAACCAAUUACUGCUCAUGAAUAUGAUAAUCUCAAGAAAAAAAGCCAUCCUUUGCC